rnacentral:lncRNA from 1 species
CAACAAACAAACAAACAGAAUACUGCCUGACAGAGACUAGAUCUUACAACCAAAGAUCAUUCGGACCUCUUCAGAAUUCUGCCUGUGGCUGCUGCUCCUAAUCCCAAGGGCCAGGACAUUCCUUAUAAACUGGGAAUCCCUUAAACUCACCAAUGGAUGGAUUUGUCGGUGGGACUCUUGCUUUGUUCCCAUCAACAUGUUCUGCUUAGCUGAAGGUGUGAGCAUGGUCUUCAGACCCACCCCAGGAGAAAUGAUUGCUUGUCAUCUAACUAACUUUCUUCUCUGACUCAGUCAAGUGUUUCCAGAGGUGUGGGCGUCAAUGAACUAAAACGCAGCUGAGACUU